rnacentral:rRNA from 1 species
AGUCGAGGGGCAGCGGGGGAGUAGCAAUACUCCCGCCGGCGACCGGCGCACGGGUGAGUAACACGUAUGAAACCUGCCCGUAGCAGGGGGGGAUAAGCGGAAGAAAUUCCGUCUAAUACCGCGUAACAACCCUUGGAGGCAUCUCCUCGGGUUUAAAGGAAGCGAUUCCGGCUACGGAUGGUCAUGCGUCGCAUUAGCUGGUUGGCGGGGUAACGGCCCACCAAGGCGACGAUGCGUAGGGGUUCUGAGAGGAAGGUCCCCCACACUGGUACUGAGACACGGACCAGACUCCUACGGGAGGCAGCAGUGAGGAAUAUUGGUCAAUGGCCGCAGGGCUGAACCAGCCAAGUCGCGUGAGGGAUGACGGUCCUAUGGAUUGUAAACCUCUUUUGUCAGGGAGCAAAGGGCGCCACGUGUGGCGCUUUGCGAGUACCUGAAGAAAAAGCAUCGGCUAACUCCGUGCCAGCAGCCGCGGUAAUACGGAGGAUGCGAGCGUUAUCCGGAUUUAUUGGGUUUAAAGGGUGCGCAGGCGGAAUGUCAAGUCAGCGGUAAAAUUUCGGGGCUCAACCCCGUCGUGCCGUUGAAACUGGCGUUCUUGAGUGAGCGAGAAGUAUGCGGAAUGCGUGGUGUAGCGGUGAAAUGCAUAGAUAUCACGCAGAACUCCGAUUGCGAAGGCAGCAUACCGGCGCUCAACUGACGCUCAUGCACGAAAGCGUGGGUAUCGAACA